UGGAUCUGAUGGAGAGAGAGUAAGGAAUUGAGUUAAAAUAUAAAAGCUAAAUUAUGUCUGGUUUAAGUUUUGGAGUGUGUGUGUGUGUGUGUGUGUGUGUGUGUGUGUGUGUUUGGUCCCAGCUCCUGCCCACCUAGCAGUUCGA